CAUGGGGCCCUGCUCCGGGGCCAGUCCCUCUGCUGGGACUCAGGGCUCCUGGGAUUCAUUAGUCUCCUCCUCAGUGUCUGCAGCACAACAGCCAACACUUCUGGAGCACAUGGCCCUGCAGUGAAGGAUUCUGGAGCUCACAUUUGUCUGAAGGGGAUCCGAGGAGGUUCUGUCUUGUUGAAUGUGAUUGAGAAGCUCAGAGUAGAUGUAGACGCCGAGCUGGAGGAGGUUGUAUGGACUUUGGGUAUUCUGUCAAAUCAUACACAGGUGCUGUGAGUCCACAGGGGGGCCGACUCUCCAACCUGGGUCGGCCUUGAGGAAAAGUUCAAGCAGAGGGUCCAUGUGCCUAGCGUGUUGUCUCUGAGGAUUGAGAACCUGGCCCCUGAUGACAGUGGGCAGUACAUGGCCAUGAUCCACUUAACUGGGGGACAAUUAUCUGGCCAGGUUUUCUACCUCACUGUCUAUGAGCCUGUGCCUCAUCCUGAGAUCCUGGCCAAGUCACUGUCUAUCAUACCAGGCUUGUGUAACAUCACCCUGGAGUGCAGGGCUCCAGGAGCCACAGAGGACCUGAAUGUGACUUGGGAGAGCAAGGACCUCCUCAGAGAGCUGGAGCACAGAGAAACACGAGGACCAGCCCCUAACCCCUGGAUCCUGGCUGUGAACCUGCCCUGAGCCACGCACUCCCUGUGGUCGCCUGGAUCAGGAACCUACCUGGGGUUCAUGUAGACUGGACAUGGCUCUCCUUCGCAAGAUAUUCUUGGAGUCAUUGCAUUUGUGCUGUUGAUCCUGAGAGCUGGGCUAUACCUCUGGAAGAAACGUGGGAAGAAGAAGAAG
rnacentral:sRNA from 1 species